AUAGAGUUCGUUCAUUUAUGAAUAUUAUACUACAGGGAUCAAUUCAACAGGAAUAUAUGUUCAACUUGGUUAUGACUGUCUGAUAUUUAUUAUAAACCUAUCGUAGGCUAAAAAUUUAGUAAAUGAAAAGUAGAUAUCUUUGAAAGCUUGUCGGUAUAAGCUUUAUUCCUGUUCGAUUAAAGAACAUAAUGUUAACCCAUUAAAACUCUCUAUUUGAAAAAAAAGAAGAUAAGGUAACUAAUUUAAAACGUUUAUUAUAAGAUUUUCUGAGUUCUUGACAUACAAGUUUUCCUGAUGAGUAUUUGGCUAUUAAUUAUUUGUUGUUAGUUUCAGUGUAGGCAAACAAUUUAGCAAAUGAAAUGUUUUUACCCACGAAAGCUUGUUAAAAUAAGCUUUGAAUACCGCCCCCCCCCCCCCAAAAAAAAAAACAAACCAAAAACCAACAACAAAAAUAAACCAAAACCAACCCUACCAAAAUAGUUCCUGGCCAUUAAAACUUUCAUGAAAAGUAGAUAUCCUUGAAAGCUUGUCGACAUAAAGCUUUAUUUCUGUUCGAUUAAAGUGCAUAAUGAUAACCCAUUAAAACUCUCUAUUUGAAAAAAAAGAAGAUAAGAUAACUAAUUUAAAACUUUUAUUAUUUGUUGUUAGUUUCAGUGUCGGCAAACAUUUUAGCAAAUGAAAUGUAUAUAUACCCACGAAAGCUAGUUAAACUAAGCUUUUAAUACAGUUUUCCAAACAAAACAAAACAUUACAACCCUACCAACAUAGUACAUCGCC
rnacentral:lncRNA from 1 species